rnacentral:rRNA from 1 species
GAUGAACGCUAGCGGCAGGCUUAAUACAUGCAAGUCGUGGGGCAGCAGGGGUAGCAAUACCCGCUGGCGACCGGCAAACGGGUGCGGAACACGUACGCAACCUUCCUUUAACUGGAGAAUAGCCCCUCGAAAGAGGGAUUAAUACUCCGUAACACAUUGACAAGGCAUCUUAUUAAUAUUAUAGCUCCGGCGGUUAAAGAUGGGCGUGCGACUGAUUAGAUAGUUGGCGGGGUAACGGCCCACCAAGUCUGCGAUCAGUAACUGGUGUGAGAGCACGACCAGUCACACGGGCACUGAGACACGGGCCCGACUCCUACGGGAGGCAGCAGUAAGGAAUAUUGGUCAAUGACGCAAGUCUGAACCAGCCAUGCCGCGUGGAGGAUUAAGGCCCUCUGGGUUGUAAACUCCUCUUAUCUGGGAAGAAAUGCAUUUUUUCUAAAAUGCUUGACGGUACCAGAGGAAUAAGCACCGGCUAACUCCGUGCCAGCCGCCG